UCUAGGUAGCAAGGCGGUCUGUGAGACUCUUGCCACCUCUGAAAAAUGUAGGCCACUAGCCUUACAUUUUGCCAACAGCUCUGAUUAAUUUCUAAACGAUCGCAUCGUAUAAUCUCAAACAUGUUUUAAUCAAAGGGCCGCAUUAAAGCGGAUGGCAGACUGUGUGCAUCAGCAGUGAUACAGCAUAUUUACAGUGGACAGCAUCCACACUGGGAACAGGACAAAAUGGCUGAUAAGAGUGACCUAAAAGCCGAACUUGAGCGUAAGAAACAGUGCCUUGCUCAAAUCAGAGAGGAAAAAAAGAGAAAGGAGAAAGAAAAA